rnacentral:rRNA from 1 species
GUGCCAGCAGCCGCGGUAAUACGUAUGUCCCGAGCGUUAUCCGGAUUUAUUGGGCGUAAAGCGAGCGCAGACGGUUCGAUAAGUCUGAAGUGAAAGCCCACAGCUCAACUGUGGAAGUGCUUUGGAAACUGUCGAACUUGAGUGCAGUAGAGGUAAGUGGAACUCCAUGUGUAGCGGUGGAAUGCGUAGAUAUAUGGAAGAACACCAGUGGCGAAGGCGGCUUACUGGACUGCAACUGACGUUGAGGCUCGAAAGUGUGGGUAGCAAACAGGAUUAGAUACCCUGGUAGUCCACACCGUAAACGAUGAACACUAGGUGUUAGAGGGUUUCCGCCCUUUAGUGCCGAAGCUAACGCAUUAAGUGUUCCGCCUGGGGAGUACGACCGCAAGGUUGAAACUCAAAGGAAUUGACGGGGACCCGCACAAGCGGUGGAGCAUGUGGUUUAA